AUGAUAUGCAUUAGCUGGAACUGCCGGGGGCUUGGGAACCCCGAGGCAGUUCGUGAGCUUCGCCGGCUGGUGAAGCAAGAAGGUCCUGCCCUGCUGUUCGUAAUGGAAACUAAAAUCAGGGCUAAGAGAGUGGAGGACAUGCGAUAUCAAUUUGGUUUCUCGGGUUGUUUCGCAGUUGACAGUGUUGGACUAAGUGGUGGAAUUGGGCUUUACUGGUCCAAUGAUGUGGAUAUUAACCUGAAAAAUUACAACAAGAAUCACAUCGACAUUUCGGUGAGGGUCAAGGACCAAGCCGCAACGGAGUGGCGGUUUACUGGAUUCUAUGGUGAACCGCGGGUCGAAGAUAGGCAUCAUAGUUGGCGCUUUCUUCGGACCUUACAUGCACUGCCGCAUUCUUCAUGGUUGUGCAUGGGCGACUUUAACGAGACGCUUUUUGGUGAUGAACACUUCAGUAAGUCUGCUCGACCGGAAUGGCAAAUGAAGGCUUUUCGUGAAGCUGUUGAGGAUAUUUCCUUCCAAGAUCUUGGUUGGUCUGGAGUGGCAUAUACAUGGGACAAUAGGCAAAGUGGCACUAGUGCAGAAUCGGGCUUUAGCGCCGGUUCGUAA
rnacentral:rRNA from 1 species